rnacentral:sRNA from 1 species
CGCGCCUCGGUGAGGGCCCCCCUUAGCCCCAAGCCUUCGGCUACCCUGAAAACGCGGCUCCCCUCGAAGGGGAAACAAGUGCAGUUCAAUCUCGUCUGAGUGAUCUACAAAUAAGGACGGAAAGGGUCGUUUUAUCACUGUCCCGUUUGUCGUGACGAUGCAAUUUCCCGGAGCGGAGCACUGUCACAAAGUGACAAGGCUGCCACAAGCGCCCCGACUGAUCUUUUCAAUUAGCCUUCCAUGCAUGAUCCGGAGCGACUUCCGCCUAUUUCCAGAAAUUAAGCUCAAACUUGACGUGCAGCUAGUUUUAUUUUAAAGACAAAUGUCAGAGAGGCUCAUCAUAUUUUCCCCCCUCUUCUAUAUUUGGAGCUUAUUUAUUGCUAAGAAGCUCAGGCUCCUGGAGUCAAUUUAUCAGUAGGCUCCAAGGAGAAGAGAGGAGAGGAGAGGAGAGGAGAGCUGAACAGGGAGCCACGUCUUUUCCUGGGAGGGCUGCUCUCUAAGUCGGGGCUGCAGGUUGGAGAUUUUUAAGGAAGUGGAAAUUGGCAAAUUGGCUUUGUGUGUCUGUGGUUUUUGGGGAGGGGGACUACAAAGAGGGGCUAACUCCCUCUCCCUAUUCUCUAAGGUUGGACCACAGGGAUGAGGUUGUGAGAUACAAAGAUAAAGGACGGAUGGGGAACACUAUGAUGUGGUCUUUUUCUUUUCUGUUUUUGAUUUUUGCUAAUAUCUAUCCUUGGCUAAGGGGAGGGCGGAGUUCAGCGGCGGAAAUAAAGCGAGCAGUGGCUGGUGCGAACCGACUCCCGGCUCUGAGCCUUACUUGCGGUGGCCGGACUUGUCUGUGGCUGAAGCCGAGCCCGGGCUCUGACUCUCACGUCUGCACUGGAGGUGCGGAAACCUGGACUGGGGUUCGCCAGCCACAGACUGGCUGCUCUGGUUGUUCUCUCCUCUUCCUUCUUCUAUUCUAACCAAACAAAACCCAACUAGAUGCUUGUGCCAGGCCUUGGCCAGUUUGGACGGUGAUGGAAACAUUUCUGGAUUUUAGCGUCUAAGGGAGCACUCAAGGGCUGUAAGGUUUGCUAUCACUGUCCCAACACUGCAGAGACCUUGAAGGUUCAGUGUGGGAUCUGUAGAACCCAUGGUUUGCGGUGACACUCAGAGGGGAUCUUUGGGAGAUUUAUAGAGCCGGUUCUUAGCGCUUUGUGGGUUCAGAGGCUGGCUGCAGUGUUUAUGAAGAGGGGCAGUGGGCUGGGGACACUGCUGGGGUUAUGGCUGUAGUGAGGUCCAUGUGUACUUGUUCCUUGGCAUGCGUCUGACUCUGUGUUGCUGCUGCAGUACAGUGGGCAGGGGCACGGUUGCUUGGGACUGGGCUGCCCGAUGUCUGGCAUGGCUGGUGGUCCUGUUGUCCUUUAUUUGAUCGAUAGCAGGGAACUGAUCGCCGAGGUUGGCACAGGUUGGCAGGGGGAUGAGGAUGCAUUGUGGUUGUCUCCUCCUCCUCUCCUUCUUCCUCUUCCCCUUCCUCCUCUCCUUUCUGUUCUUGUUCUCCCUCAUCUUCCUCUUCCUUCUUCUCCCUCUUCUUCCUCUUCACUCUGCUCUCCUCUCUUCUUUUCCCCUUUCCUCUCCUCUCCCUUUCCUCAGGUCACAGCGGAGUGAAUCAGCUCGGUGGUGUCUUUGUCAACGGGCGGCCACUGCCGGACUCCACCCGGCAGAAGAUUGUAGAGCUAGCUCACAGCGGGGCCCGGCCGUGCGACAUUUCCCGAAUUCUGCAGGUGUCCAACGGAUGUGUGAGUAAAAUUCUGGGCAGGUAUUACGAGACUGGCUCCAUCAGACCCAGGGCAAUCGGUGGUAGUAAACCGAGAGUAGCGACUCCAGAAGUUGUAAGCAAAAUAGCCCAGUAUAAGCGGGAGUGCCCGUCCAUCUUUGCUUGGGAAAUCCGAGACAGAUUACUGUCCGAGGGGGUCUGUACCAACGAUAACAUACCAAGUGUAAGUUCAUUGAGAAGAUCUGCCCUCCCUGCCCUAAGCCCAAUGCUCUCUCCUCUUUACCUCCUCCCACCCUCUCUCUCCACUGUCUCUUAGUCUGUGUCCUCUCCCUGCUCCACAUUUGUCUCCUUUGUACCUGGGGGAACAGAGAGGAAUGCCCUGACUUUUCUUUGACUGUCUGGAAAAUGGGAGUCAAGUGUGGGGAGUCAUUCACUUCAUUUGCAUGCUGCAAAACAGAGGGCGGAGGCACCAGGGAAAGGCACUUGAAUGAAGAAGGAAAAUGAGAACCAGAUUGUAACUUCGUCCUAAUCCACCUGCCAGAACUUUCCUUCAGGUGUCACACAUCCAUUUCCAUCCUAAUAUUAAACAAUAUAAUGAAAGAAAGCUUUACACCAAGUCUAAAUAGAUUUUAUUUUCGGGCAGUCUUUUAACAAAGCAAAGCAACCGUGUGAGUUAGGUCACCAGAGACACCAAGCAAUGGUGAAGGACCCCCUCCCCCCAAUUCUCUAUCCAACUAAAUUUCCAUGCCCAAAGUGAUAGCUAUCAUUUUUUCCACGGUGUAUCUGCAAAUCCACCCACUGUCCCGGGGUGGCUGGGAGCUUUUUAAUGGGUUGAGAGUUGCUUUUUAAGGUUGUGGGUGAGCUGAGAUGGGUGACUGUGUCUUCAGGAGGCACUACCAUUUGGUUUGAUUUUGGUUUGAUUUGCAGGUGUCAUCAAUAAACAGAGUUCUUCGCAACCUGGCUAGCGAAAAGCAACAGAUGGGCGCAGACGGCAUGUAUGAUAAACUAAGGAUGUUGAACGGGCAGACCGGAAGCUGGGGCACCCGCCCUGGUUGGUAUCCGGGGACUUCGGUGCCAGGGCAACCUACGCAAGAUGGCUGCCAGCAACAGGAAGGAGGGGGAGAGAAUACCAACUCCAUCAGUUCCAAUGGAGAAGAUUCAGAUGAGGCUCAAAUGCGACUUCAGCUGAAGCGGAAGCUGCAAAGAAAUAGAACAUCCUUUACCCAAGAGCAAAUUGAGGCCCUGGAGAAAGAGUUUGAGAGAACCCAUUAUCCAGAUGUGUUUGCUCGAGAAAGACUAGCAGCCAAAAUAGAUCUACCUGAAGCAAGAAUACAGGUAUGGUUUUCUAAUCGAAGGGCCAAAUGGAGAAGAGAAGAAAAACUGAGGAAUCAGAGAAGACAGGCCAGCAACACACCUAGUCAUAUUCCUAUCAGCAGUAGUUUCAGCACCAGUGUCUACCAACCAAUUCCACAACCCACCACACCUGUUUCCUCCUUCACAUCUGGCUCCAUGUUGGGCCGAACAGACACAGCCCUCACAAACACCUACAGCGCUCUGCCGCCUAUGCCCAGCUUCACCAUGGCAAAUAACCUGCCUAUGCAACCCCCAGUCCCCAGCCAGACCUCCUCAUACUCCUGCAUGCUGCCCACCAGCCCUUCAGUGAAUGGGCGGAGUUAUGAUACCUACACCCCCCCACAUAUGCAGACACACAUGAACAGUCAGCCAAUGGGCACCUCGGGCACCACUUCAACAGGACUCAUUUCCCCUGGUGUGUCAGUUCCAGUUCAAGUUCCCGGAAGUGAACCUGAUAUGUCUCAAUACUGGCCAAGAUUACAGU